GACGAACCGUGCGAACGUUGUUCGGAAUCACUGGGCUUAAAGGGCGCGUAGGCGGGCAGGCAAGUCAGGGGUGAAAGCCCACGGCUCAACCGUGGAAGCGCCUUUGAUACUGCCGGUCUCGAGGGAGGUAGGGGCGUGCGGAACUUCCGGUGGAGCGGUGAAAUGCGUAGAUAUCGGAAGGAACACCGGUGGCGAAAGCGGCGCGCUGGACCUCUUCUGACGCUGAGGCGCGAAAGCCAGGGGAGCAAACGGG
rnacentral:rRNA from 1 species